GACGAACGCUGGCGGCGUGCUUAACACAUGCAAGUCGAACGGAAAGGCCCUGCUCUUGUGGGGUGCUCGAUUGGCGAACGGGUGAGUAACACGUGAGUAACCUGCCCUUGACUUUGGGAUAACUUCAGGAAACUGGGGCUAAUACCGGAUAUGAGCUCCUGCUGCAUGGUGGGGGUUGGAAAGUUUCGGCGGUUGGGGAUGGACUCGCGGCUUUUCCGCUUGUUGGUGGGGUAGUGGCUUACCAAGGCUUUGACGGCUAGCCGGCCUGAGAGGGUUACCGGCCACAUUGGGCCUGAGAUACGGCCCAGACGCCAACGGGAGGCAGCAGUGGAGAAUAUUGCACAAUGGGCGGGAGCCUGAGGUAGCAACGCCGGGUGCGGGAUGACGGCCUUCGGGUUGAAAACAGCUGUGGACUGUGACGAAGCGUGAGUGACGGUAAUGGGUAAAGAAGCACCGGCUAACUACGUG
rnacentral:rRNA from 1 species